rnacentral:rRNA from 1 species
UACCAGCACCCCGAGUGGUCGGGACGUUUAUUGGGCCUAAAGCAUCCGUAGCCGGUUCUACAAGUCUUCCGUUAAAUCCAGCUGCUUAACAGAUGGGCUGCGGAAGAUACUAUGGAGCUAGGAGGCGGGAGAGGCAAGCGGUACUCGAUGGGUAGGGGUAAAAUUCGUUGAUCCAUUGAAGACCACCAGUGGCGAAGGCGGCUUGCCAGAACGCGCUCGACGGUGAGGGAUGAAAGCUGGGGGAGCAAACAGG